AUUCCUGCGUCCACCUCAGCAGUAAGGAGAGGGCAAUCGCCGACACGUGGCAUCUCCAAUUUAUUAUGUUUCGCUGAUACGGUUUGGCCUAGAAGUGAAGGUGGAGAUCAGUAGAUUUGCAAUCCGUCGCCUCUUCUGCUUCCUCCUUUUUUUUCUUAACGGCUUUACUAAACUCUAUAAUGCCUCCAAAUCAAUUAACCCCACUACGUGUUAUGGAAUGUCAAGCUGUAAUGGAGAUUUACCAAAGUCAGACUUUCUGAUCUGAAGGUUGGCCGUUGUAAGGAGGUUUGGGUGUCCCUUUGCUUCAGUUCUGGGAAGCCCGAAUCUGAAGAAAGGAGGCAAGCUUGUCUGCUUCGAUUCUGGGAAGCUCGAAUCUGAAGAAAGGGGCAAGCUUAUUGGAGUUGACAUGAUGUUGUUGGACCAGAAGCUACUAAAACCUUGCUCUGUAUUUCUACUUGCUUAUUUAGGAUAACCUACUUCGACUUUCAUAAUAGCUACACUGUUUUCGCUUGCAGUCAACCUUGAUUCAAGGCUCCAUUGCCCCACACCGGCUUAACAGUUUCGAGAAUCUACUGAGGGAAGGAGGAGUGUAUGAGCUCAGUGUUUUUGAUGUUGCUAGAAGUAACAACCAUUUCAACGGUCUGUGUUCGAUUCACCGAGCAUACCAAAUUUGUCGAGUUGAGGAAUCACACGACUUGCAUUCCAACUGAGAUGCUCUGGUCUCGCAAGUAUGAACAGAUGACUCUGGCUGACAGCAACGUCUACUUGCCAGGUAUGUAUUUCAGCUAAUCAUUCUCCCUAUAAAUCUUCUUAUAACAGAUACCUAUCAAUUGUGUAUCCCACUUAAUGUAACAAAAGUAAUAUCUCAGAUAUCAGCACCAUUUACGGUGACGAAAUCAGACCAUUAAGCGUGUUAUGUUGACAAUUUAAAUGUACGUUACUAUUUUGUCUGAAGUUAUUUAUGUUUGGGGUUGCCUUGAACUCUGUUUGUUUCGGAAAACCCUCAAAUAGCUCUGCAGGUCAACCACUGUUUGUGUUACUGUGUUUGAUAAGGUCGUAAAUCUCCUCCAUGACAAGUUAGAACUCUUGGGUGUGAAGCCUAUCCAAUGGUUGCAACAAACAUAAAUCCCAAAUUUGUUGGUGGUUGUUUAUUCUACAAUGAAAGCCUAGCCACGCAUGGACUUUAAAAGAGUUUUUGUGGAGGUGAGGCUGGUUCCAAGUUUGGUGGUCUUAAGAAACUUGAGUCAGUCACGCUCCAGGAGCUUAAUAGCUAUGUUCUCAAUUCAACCCCACAUGUACGUCCACUUAAUAAGGCUGUGGAGUUCAUUUGCAAAGGUGAGGUGGCUGAUAUUGACACAACCAAUGGAUAGUGCUACAUCUCAUGUUCUAUGUGCUCGCGCAAGCUGCUUUGUGGAGUCACAUCUUUCAGGUGCUCCGGAUGCAGUGAUAAGAAAGCAGUAGGUGUGGUCAGGUUCCGAGUGCAGAUGGCGGUAGAAGACGUCACCAAUGCAGCUCUUUUUGUCGCAUUUGAUGAGGAAAUCACCAAACUUUCUUUAGGUAGGAAUCAGAGUUAGAUUUGAGGCCAGUUGUGUUGGAUUUGAUGUUGUACACAAUGAAAACAUUUCAUGUUCUUUGUUUAAUUCUUGAUUUUGAUAUGUCAA